rnacentral:rRNA from 1 species
UACGUAGGGGGCAAGCGUUGUCCGGAUUUAUUGGGCGUAAAGAGCGUGUAGGCGGCUUUACAGGUCCGUUGUGAAAACUCGAGGCUCAACCUCGAGACGCCGGUGGAAACCGUAAGGCUAGAGUCCGGAAGAGGAGAGUGGAAUUCCUGGUGUAGCGGUGAAAUGCGCAGAUAUCAGGAGGAACGACCCGUGGCGAAAGCGGCUCUCUGGGACGGUACUGACGCUGAGACGCGAAAGCGUGGGGAGCAAACAGG